GCCGAAGUGGUGGAAUUGGUAGACACGCUGUCUUGAGGGGGCAGUGAACCUCGUUCGUGCCGGUUCGACUCCGGCCUUCGGCACCA
rnacentral:tRNA from 5 species